CCUUGCCUCUUAGACCCGGGCAUACCAUCACAAACCAACGAGCAGGAUGCCACGCUGUGCCCUUUGCAAGAAGGGGUGAACGCAAGCUUCCCUUUUCUUCCUGGUGCCUCAGCAUCUCCUCUGCCGAGGAUGUCAAACUCACCGGAAGGAGGAAAAAACCAAUUCUGUGUUUCAUUGUGAUCUGCGUCCUGGAGUGUAAAUUCAGAACUAAGUACUUUCUGCAAACCAUGCUGAAUGGCUGUUGUUAUCAGUAGGAGGUUUGCAAUAAAGGGGAGGAAAUUGUCUUUGGAUAGUAAAUAAAAGUUUCAUAAUUCUUUA